AUUGAACGCUGGCGGCAGGCCUAACACAUGCAAGUCGAGCGGAGCGGCGGACGGGUGAGUAAUGCCUAGGAAUCUGCCUGGUAGUGGGGGAUAACGUCCGGAAACGGGCGCUAAUACCGCAUACUAUCAGAUGAGCCUAGGUCGGAUUAGCUAGUUGGUGGGGUAACGUCCUACCAAGGCGACGAUCCGUAACUGGACUGAGAGGAUGAUCAGUCAAACUGAAACUGAGACACGGUCCAGAGUCCUACGGGAGGAAGCAGUGGGGAAGAUUGGAAAAUGGGCGAAAGCCUGAUCCAGCCAGGACGCGUGUGUGAAGAAGGUCUUCGGAUUGUAAAGAACUUUAAGUUGGGAGGCGUUACCAACAGAAGAAGCACCGGAUAAGUACGUGCCAGCAGCCGCGGUAAUUC
rnacentral:rRNA from 1 species